GAGGAGGAAGGGGAGAGGCGCGCGCAGCCGCUGGCGGACGGGCCGGGAGCGGCACCGGAGCUGACGGGACGGGGCUGCGGCGCUCUCCGGCCUCUGCCCUCCUUCCUCUCACCGAAAGCUGAGUUUCACCCCCGAAACCGGGACACAGGAGCCUCGCCGCCUUUUUCCACAGAAUCACCAACGUUGGAAGAGACCUGAAGGGAAGAGGAGACUGGCCCCCACCCACCUCCGUCAUGGAGUAGAAUAAUUCUCCAGAAACACCUAUUUGCAAUCCUGUUUUCUCAGGAGCUUGGCGGACUUUGUCAGAGGGUCAGUUAUUCCCACACUUUACACCAAAACUUGUGGGGUAUGCCAGCACUGAACUGAAGCCCACCCCCCUCCUCCAAAGCCUUGAUGAGAUGUACGAGCUCCCAGGUUAUCCCAUUCCUGGGCAUCAUCAGGCGCUGCAGAAUGAGCACCUUGCUGUGGAAAGCACAGUCCCUUCUGCCUGCAUGUAUGGUGCUUUCAUGGUAAGGGGAGACUGGAUGAGUGGUGUGGAAAAUCAGGUACAAAUACCGAUUCAUGGAUAACCUGCAAUCCCUCCUUUGAUGCAUCUCCAACUUUCCUUUUCAGGGUCAGCUUCCAGUACUGGCCAUGCACCCAGUCCACAUAAGAAGAAUAAAUGCAGAUCAGUUAAAAUCCCCUGGCUGUUUUCAAGUUAUGAAAUAGUUAUCCCUUCUCCUUUUGUGUCAUUAUUUUUUAAGCAAAACACUAUUAGAUUUAGCAAUUUCCUGGUUUUUGUAGAAGUUUGAUCACAUGCAUGCAACAUUAGGUUACAUUACUCUGAGUGCUCUAAUAUUCCUAAUAAUUAAUUAUUAAUAAUUAGGUUCAUGAGCAACAGAGCUCACAACUUACAGUGGUUGUUAUCUCUCUGAUUUGUGAUCAUUUUCCAUGCAGAUGUGCCUGUGUACAGCAAUUUAGGUGCCACAUAAAUCAAAAUAUUUUGUCAGUGUAUUUGGCCACACUGAGAAAAAUCUGAAGUUUCUUGUAUCUUUUCAUUUUUUUGUCUUCCACUGCAUCACUAAGAAAGUUUAUUGUCUUGUCUUGUGGUAGUAAGAAUUUCAGCAGUCUAUCUAAAAGGAAUAGAUCCAGCAAUUACAAAACUCACUAAGAAGUAAAUGAGGCAGCACUUCCAUUGCAGAAUGCUUAUGAUCGGUUCUGAUAACGCAAGUGGCAAAAAAAAUGCUUGGUGGGGCUGAAAAGUGUGGUUUUAAAAGUAUGUUUGCAAAGCUAUCAUAAAAAAGUAGGCAAGGAUAUGUAUUUUAUUAGCUGACUUCGAAAAUAUUUGUGUAACUCCGUUUGCAUCACUGUAUAUGUCUACAUAUUUCUGUUUUUUUCAGAAUGAUCUCAAGGUCAGUCAGAGCUCCUGGGAACUUAAGCUAUAUUUUUCUAGUAAGUUAUUUCAGUCGUCCAAGUCCAAUUUAAGUAUAAACACAGUUUCCAUGCACAGCAGGUUUACAGUAUCUCUGUUUGCUUAUGUUAAAAGUUACCGGCUACCCAGGUCGGUUCAGCCAGUCAGAUUGCCCUCUUCAAUAAACAUUCUGACACCACU